GCCGGGGUGGCCGAGCGGUUCUAGGCGCUACAGUCUGGAAUACUGAUACGGUCGCAGGUUCGAAUCCUGCCUCCGGCA
rnacentral:tRNA from 1 species